rnacentral:rRNA from 1 species
UGGGGAAUUUUGGACAAUGGGCGAAAGCCUGACCCAGCAACGCCGCGUGAAGGAUGAAGUAUUUCGGUAUGUAAACUUCGUAAGAAUAGGAAGAAUAAAUGACGGUACUAUUUGUAAGGUCCGGCUAACUACGUGCCAGCAGCCGCGGUAAUACGUAGGGACCAAGCGUUGUUCGGAUUUACUGGGCGUAAAGGGCGCGUAGGCGGUGUGUCAAGUCAGUUGUGAAAUCUCCGAGCUUAACUCGGAACGGUCAACUGAUACUGUCACACUAGAGUACAGAAGGGGCAAUCGGAAUUCUUGGUGUAGCGGUGAAAUGCGUAGAUAUCAAGAGGAACACCUGAGGCGAAGGCGGGUUGCUGGGCUGAUACUGACGCUGGGGCGCGAAAGCUAGGGUAGCAAACGGGAUUAGAUACCCCUGUAGUCCCUGAGCGGGCUGGCAAGGCGCAU